rnacentral:rRNA from 1 species
AGUGAACGCUGGCGGUAGGCCUAACACAUGCAAGUCGAACGGCAGCACAGUAAGAGCUUGCUCUUACGGGUGGCGAGUGGCGGACGGGUGAGGAAUACAUCGGAAUCUACUUUUUCGUGGGGGAUCACGUAGGGAAACUUACGCUAAUACCGCAUACGACCUACGGUUGAAAGCAGGGGAUCUUCGGACCUUGCGCGAUUGAAUGAGCCGCGGUCGGAUUAGCUAGUUGGCGGGGUAAAGGCCCACCAAGGCGACGAUCCGUAGCUGGUCUGAGAGGAUGAUCAGCCACACUGGAACUGAGACACGGUCCAGACUCCUACGGGAGGCAGCAGUGGGGAAUAUUGGACAAUGGGCGCAAGCCUGAUCCAGCCAUACCGCGUGGGUGAAGAAGGCCUUCGGGUUGUAAAGCCCUUUUGUUGGGAAAGAAAAGCAGCAGGUUAAUACCCCGCUGUUCUGACGGUACCCAAAGAAUAAGCACCGGCUAACUUCGUG